CGUUUCUCUCCUGAGUAGAAACUUGGCAGCAUUCCUAUGUGUUGUCUUACUUCUCCUUGUUGGUACGUAACAGUCAAGUUAGAUAACACGAACGAGACAGAAUUCCUGACAGUUUUCCCCAGGCAACAAAUCUCAACUGGGUGAAGUGAAGACAGAUCGUGGUAUUGAAACUAACUAUAUUGUAUAUAAGCGUCCGAGGAUAUUUCUGUUAGCGGCAAACGUAAAUGAACAGUGAGGUAUUUUGAGAAAGCGAAUUUUUGAAACUAUUAUUAGUUAUUUAUUGCGCAAACACGUGUGUGAAUCGAAAUAUUUCCGAAGCUCCUUCAUGAAAGGUGAAAGGAGCAGUUACGAGAAGAGAUGUUUCACCCAACUCCACAUCAAUACCGUCUAUGGAACUGGAACCAUUUGUGGCCACUGACCUUGUGCAUCGGACUGGCUACGCUGGUAGUUCUUGCCCUAAUGACAGAUGGCAGCAGAUCUUGGACGGGGAAUGACCGACAGCGCGUGGACAUGGAACUGAGGAAAUGGGAUCUCACCGAAAACAAGGUCUUGGUUCUGAGCCACGAAGACAGGCCUCACGAGGUCGUGUGGGACCCGGAGAAAUACCAGCUAAUAACGAAAUACCUCGACUCUCAGACUGAGAGAGGCAAACCCGAAUCAGUUACGAAGGAGAUUGUGGACAAAGAGCCAAAGGUAAAAGAUAUUAAUGUCCUUGGUGAAAACGGUAAAAAUUAUAUUGUUAUUUAGCUAUGAGGUUUUAUUGAGAGACAAGGCUACACUUACAAUUGAGGUAGGGUGUUGUUGUGUGGUUAAA